GGGAGAUGUUAUUCCAGUGGUCCCGUAUCAUCUGAAGGUUAGGCUGCAAGUUUUAGUUGUGUUCCUACAAAGUGUUAGGCAACUAGUCGUUGUCACUUUCAGAACCUGUCUUUCAACAAACCGGCAUGCCCAUAACCAUGAUGUGAAUGUUCUUUUGUUCAGACUGUCAUUCUGUUUUGUUCCCUUGUGCAGCAGUAUAGAUGGUUGCAGAUAGGGGUGGGUUGCUGUGGACUGAUGCGCUGCUCUGAUCUGCUGAUGUUCAUAGGGAUGGCUAUGCUAUGAUGAAGGAAUGGAUAUUGUAUGUUGAAGCAAAAGGUUGCUGAUAUCAGGUAUCUCUAGAGCCGUUCCAUGCAUUUCCAUUUCAUCUCCACUGGGAAAGGCCAACUCUGUUGUAGUGACAGUGCAGAAAAUAUGCCAAAGAUUGGAUUGAUUUGGGAUGAAUUUCUUUUUCUGCUAGGGGAGGUAUUUUGUAAAUGGGCUCAUAUGAUAGGCAACAUUCCAAGUUUUUAAUGGGAUCAUGCCAGAAUGUAGCAGUCUUGUUACAAGUUUGUUAAUUAAAAAAAAAAAAAUUCUAUUGAAAAAAGGAAGAAGAAGAAAAGAAGAUAAACCCAUGCCUAGCCCAUUUCAGGCUGGUCUCGUGUACCAUGGGGUUACCAUGCCCAUAACGACCCUUACUCUUGACUAAAUUUAAGAAAUUUGUAAUUCUUUUUAAUAAAAUUUUCUUAUUCUUAAAAAUGGUAUAACGGGACAGUAUUUUCUUUGUGAAAUGUGUAAAUUAGUAGUAAUACGAUGAACUUUACUAUGAUGUCUUGAAGACCCCUUUAUGGUUGAUAUUUGAUUUCGAGUUUGUGAUGUUAUUUUUAUUUUUACUACAUUUUAUCUUUUAAUUGGGUGUGAUCCAAAUUCAUUUGAAGGCACUGGGUUCUUUUUCUUUUUCUGUUUUUAAAUUCCAGUUACUUGUACAAGCCCCAUUUUGCUUCUUCUGUAAAUCUUGUGGAAUUGGGCUCAUUUAACAUACAAUUAGUUUAAAUUCUAAUAAUAGUGCUAAAGUUGUCUA